ensembl:snRNA U6 U6 spliceosomal RNA
GUGCUCACUUUGGCAGCACAUAUACUGAAAUUGGACUGAUACAGAGAAGAUUAGCAUGGCCCUGCACAAAGAUGACAUGGAAAUGUGUGAAGCGUUGCAUAAAUUU